rnacentral:rRNA from 2 species
UUAACGCUGAGGUGUGAUGACGAGGCACUACGGUGCUGAAGUGAUAAAUGCCCUGCUUCCAGGAAAAGCCUCUAAGCAUCAGGUAACACGAAAUCGUACCCCAAACCGACACAGGUGGUCAGGUAGAGAAUACCAAGGCGCUUGAGAGAACUCGGGUGAAGGAACUAGGCAAAAUGGUGCCGUAACUUCGGGAGAAGGCACGCUGAUGUGUAGGUGAAGCCCCUGCGGGCGGAGCUGAAAUCAGUCGAAGAUACCAGCUGGCUGCAACUGUUUAUUAAAAACACAGCACUGUGCAAACACGAAAGUGGACGUAUACGGUGUGACGCCUGCCCGGUGCCGGAAGGUUAAUUGAUGGGGUUAGCGGCAACGCGAAGCUCUUGAUCGAAGCCCCGGUAAACGGCGGCCGUAACUAUAACGGUCCUAAGGUAGCGAAAUUCCUUGUCGGGUAAGUUCCGACCUGCACGAAUGGCGUAAUGAUGGCCAGGCUGUCUCCACCCGAGACUCAGUGAAAUUGAACUCGCUGUGAAGAUGCAGUGUACCCGCGGCAAGACGGAAAGACCCCGUGAACCUUUACUAUAGCUUGACACUGAACACUGGUCCUUGAUGUGUAGGAUAGGUGGGAGGCUUUGAAGCGUGGACGCCAGUCUGCGUGGAGCCAACCUUGAAAUACCACCCUUUAAUGGCUGGUGUUCUAACGUAGACCCGUAAUCCGGGUUGCGGACAGUGUCUGGUGGGUAGUUUGACUGGGGCGGUCUCCUCCCAAAGAGUAACGGAGGAGCACGAAGGUUGGCUAAUCCUGGUCGGACAUCAGGAGGUUAGUGCAAUGGCAUAAGCCAGCUUGACUGCGAGCGUGACGGCGCGAGCAGGUGCGAAAGCAGGUCAUAGUGAUCCGGUGGUUCUGAAUGGAAGGGCCAUCGCUCAACGGAUAAAAGGUACUCCGGGGAUAACAGGCUGAUACCGCCCAAGAGUUCAUAUCGACGGCGGUGUUUGGCACCUCGAUGUCGGCUCAUCACAUCCUGGGGCUGAAGUAGGUCCCAAGGGUAUGGCUGUUCGCCAUUUAAAGUGGUACGCGAGCUGGGUUUAGAACGUCGUGAGACAGUUCGGUCCCUAUCUGCCGUGGGCGCUGGAGAAUUGAGGGGGGCUGCUCCUAGUACGAGAGGACCGGAGUGGACGCAUCACUGGUGUUCGGGUUGUCAUGCCAAUGGCACUGCCCGGUAGCUAAAUGCGGAAGAGAUAAGUGCUGAAAGCAUCUAAGCACGAAACUUGCCCCGAGAUGAGUUCUCCCUGAGACUUUAAGUCUCCUGAAGGAACGUU